GAGUUUGAUCCUGGCUCAGGACGAACGCUGGCGGCGUGCUUAACACAUGCAAGUCGAGCGACAGCACUCUUCGGGGUGUAUGGAGCGGCGAACGGGUGAGUAACACGUGGGCAACCUGCCCUCAGCUCUGGGAUAACUCCGGGAAACCGGGGCUAAUACCGGAUACGACCUUCCCUUGCAUGGGGGUUGGUGGAAAGUUCUUCGGCUGAGGAUGGGCCCGCGGCCUAUCAGCUUGUUGGUGGGGUGAUGGCCUACCAAGGCGACGACGGGUAGCCGGCCUGAGAGGGCGACCGGCCACACUGGGACUGAGACACGGCCCAGACUCCUACGGGAGGCAGCAGUGGGGAAUAUUGCGCAAUGGGCGGAAGCCUGACGCAGCGACGCCGCGUGAGGGAUGAAGGCCUUCGGGUUGUAAACCUCUUUCAGCAGGGACGAAGCGAGAGUGACGGUACCUGCAGAAGAAGCACCGGCCAACUACGUGCCAGCAGCCGCGGUAAUACGUAGGGUGCAAGCGUUGUCCGGAAUUAUUGGGCGUAAAGAGCUCGUAGGCGGUCUGUCGCGUCGGCUGUGAAAACUCGGGGCUCAACCCCGAGCCUGCAGUCGAUACGGGCAGACUAGAGUGCUGUAGGGGAGACUGGAAUUCCUGGUGUAGCGGUGAAAUGCGCAGAUAUCAGGAGGAACACCGGUGGCGAAGGCGGGUCUCUGGGCAGUAACUGACGCUGAGGAGCGAAAGCGUGGGGAGCGAACAGGAUUAGAUACCCUGGUAGUCCACGCCGUAAACGGUGGGUGCUAGGUGUGAGCGGUAUUCCACGCCGUUCGUGCCGCAGCUAACGCAUUAAGCACCCCGCCUGGGGAGUACGGCCGCAAGGCUAAAACUCAAAGGAAUUGACGG
rnacentral:rRNA from 1 species